UAACCUCUUACCCAAUUAAAAUAUUUUCUGUAAUGCUUCUCCCUUGUACAAAAGCCUCUUGUUCGAAGCUAUGGCUUCAACCGAUUAGCUAAAAUUUUGACCACUAUAUAAAUAAUAUUACACAAACUAAUAGGUGCAUGAAAUAUUGUAUCAUACCGAACCGCCAGUAUACUCUGUACCGAGCCAGAUCGAUGAAGAACCGGCAUGGUUCAGUUGGUUCAAAUGGUAUAUCGGUGGAGGAAGGGAAGAAAGAGAAAGUGAGAAAGAGAGAGAGAAGAGAAGGAGGGA
rnacentral:lncRNA from 1 species